rnacentral:rRNA from 1 species
AGGCAUCUCUUGAAUAUCAAAGGUGAGCCAGUACAGGAUGGACCCGCGUCUGAUUAGCUAGUUGGUAAGGUAACGGCUUACCAAGGCGACGAUCAGUAGCCGACCUGAGAGGGUGAUCGGCCACAUUGGAACUGAGACACGGUCCAAACUCCUACGGGAGGCAGCAGUGGGGGAUAUUGCACAAUGGGCGAAAGCCUGAUGCAGCAACGCCGCGUGGGUGAUGAAGGCCUUCGGGUCGUAAAACUCUGUCCUCAAGGAAGAUAAUGACGGUACUUGAGGAGGAAGCCCCGGCUAACUACGUGCCAGCAGCCGCGGUAAUACGUAGGGGGCUAGCGUUAUCCGGAUUUACUGGGCGUAAAGGGUGCGUAGGCGGUCUUUCAAGUCAGGAGUGAAAGGCUACGGCUCAACCGUAGUAAGCUCUUGAAACUGGGAGACUUGAGUGCAGGAGAGGAGAGUGGAAUUCCUAGUGUAGCGGUGAAAUGCGUAGAUAUUAGGAGGAACACCAGUUGCGAAGGCGGCUCUCUGGACUGUAACUGACGCUGAGGCACGAAAGCGUGGGGAGCAAACAGGAUUAGAUACCCUGGUAGUCCACGCUGUAAACGAUGAGUACUAGGUGUCGGGGGUUACCCCCUUCGGUGCCGCAG